AAAUUGACUCUGGUGAGUAAAUUCUCAGCCAAAGAAAUAAGUUUAUUUACUCCUUGCUCCCAACUUCAGAGAUUAUAACAGACAGGAGUCCACCAUUCCUCCCAAAUUAAUUUUCCAGUCUUUUUUAAAAACAUUCUCUGUCCGGCAAGCUUGUGCCUGAGGGUCCCUCUCUUUCCCAAACGGUCCCCUUAUCGGGUUACAGAGAGAUUAACAGAUAAAAGCCGCUCCAGAACCAGAAGUUCCAGCCCCUGGCCUCUGUGUCCCUCUUCUCGCAUCUUCCCGGGGACCAAGUUCCGGGCUGACAAACCUAACCAGGUGGUUGGAGACUCCGGAUCCCGAUCCCCACCCUCUUCUCCCUCUUCCGCCCGCACCGCGGCUGCGGAAAGCGACGCGAAUCCUCCAGGUCCCAUCCGAGCCGCCGUAGCGCGAGCCCCGCUGGAGUUCUCAGCCCCGGUCGCCAAGGCAACGGCUCCGCUGCGGGCUGCGGGCGCCUGGCCGCCCCGGGGAGGCGCUGCGCGCCGGCGGUCCCACACGGCGAGGCGGCGAGACAGCAGGGAGAGGGCCGAGAGACUUCUGCCUGAACCUUGGGUCUGGAUUGCUCCUUCUCAAACCUGGUUUCUUAAUUCCACCUUCACUUCUGACCGGGAACCUCUGCAGUUUGAGGAACUUUGCUCCUAA
ensembl:lncRNA